rnacentral:lncRNA from 1 species
CUUCUGAGGCUCGGCGACGCCUACCUCAGGGUUGAGGACUUCCACAUUCUCUGUGUUCAGCUCGGAUCCUAUACCUUCCUUCUGAGGCUCGGCGACGCCUACCUCAGAGUUGAGGACUUCCACAUUCUCUGUGUUCAGCUCAGAUCCUGCCUCAGAAGGCCCAACUUUAGCAAGAGAAGUCCCUUUGGGCAGAGGCAUAUCGUCCUCCCCGUAGGCCACGAUCUCACCAUCGGAAUCCUCUUCUUUAGCUCGGAGUACGGUCAGGGGAACAGAUGGAUUAUGCCUGGCCUCUCUUAAACCCCGGUUGAAGCCGGAGACAAACAUGCGGAGACCCUUAUACCAUAUGGCCUCUUUCAUCUCAUCCGAAGCUUUAUACUCUGCAAGUCGCUUCUCACAGGCCUCAGCUAUCUCGGUUCUUAACUCAGAAGAAUCCUUGUAAUUUUGGAGGUAAGCUUCACAGGCCUGUUGGGUCUCUUUCUUCAAUUCAGGGGACUCCUUAUACUCCUUCAAGUGCUUUUCAAUCUCCAG